UUCUCUUUUCCAUUGCAUGACUUAUUGGGCCUGCCGUUUUCAUUGAGAACUUUGGUCCAAGUUUAGAGCCUAGCUGGGCCUGACUAAUUUGUCAGCCCAAUAUAUUCGGCUCUUUCGGAGGUUGAUUUGAGAGAAAAGGCUAUUUUCGUAGAUUAGAGGUUACUGGUGGAGGUAAGCGUGCGGGCGAGGUAUAAUUAUGGCACAUUGGAUAUGAUGAUCGGAUAUUGAUUUAUGAGGAAUGCUAUUAUAUCCUUCUUCCGCUUGGAUUUGGAUCCAUCCCUCCGAAAUCAGAUCCUCAAGUGGGUCCUACCAGAGCUUCUUGGGCUAAGAGUUAUCACGGAGACUUGGGGUGAGCUGCACUUUAUAAAUCUACUUUGUAGUUCCCGAGUCCAUGUUCCUUUUAUAUAUUUAUGUCUAUUUGUAUUUUAGACAGCUUGACAUGUAUAAAUACUUGAUCUCAUUUUCAUAGUUUGCUCGUGUACUUGUACCAUCUAGUCUUGGGGAUAUGUUGUAUUGAUCAUGUUUAGGCCCUGCUUGUGGCUUUAUCAGAUAUUAUCAUUAUUUUGAGACUAUUUCUAUCUUUUAUUGUUA